UGCUCCAUAGUGCUGUGGGUUUGUGACUAAAACUGCGUCGUUUUCUCUUUUUCUGUUUAGAGUGGGUGAGAGCGUACCAGAGCUACGAAAAAGAAGGCUCCUCGGACUCCAAGACAAGGGUCCUGUACUACUGUGAUUCGUCGUCCUCCGGUGGCCAGCAGCAACAGAACAGCUAGCCUGCGCACAUGUGCACUUGCGUGGAAUGAAGCUCCGAGAAGAGGCAACGGACGAGCAGCGCAGUUCGGUUCAUCGCUAUGUCCGCAACUGUGUGUGGUGGAAAACUGGUCGUGUGGCGCGUGCAUGCUUGACCUGCUCUGGCCGUCUCUAUCUCUCCAUCCCUCUCUCGUGGCUCUUUUUUCUCGUCGCCGGCACAAAAGUGCUUCUCCUUGUUUAUCAUCGCCUGGCUCUCUCGCCUCAGCAAAGUCUUCCGCCGCUGCAAGCAAGCCGCGUGAAAGUCUCCAAGCACAGGGCUUCACCGCCCCUUCUGCGUCCUGCCACAGCCUCCUCACUACUCCCAUCUGAUGCCUUUUUCAUUCGUCCCUUCCUCGUUCAACAAGAGAGGCAAGACUGGUGAAGCGUGUAGCGGCUCGUCCAUGAUCACAGUCAGCCGCCGCUGCUCUGCUUUUUGCCCGAGCCGCACCAAGUCGAUUUGUGAAAGCACGACGAGAGCUCCCUUGGCUUGGCUCACCUUGCAAAACCUUUUUUUUUUUUUUUUUUUUUUGCAACGUUGCAACCUGCAAAUGUAACGUGCCACAGACACGUCGGAAGCUUUCUGGUGUGGCCCCAGAGACUGUUUGUGUGUGUUUGUGCGCGCCUUUCUCGUCUUGUGUGUUUUCUGUGAUGCCGUGCUGCUGCAACUGACGUAGCGGGUGUGAUGUGACGUGCAGCAGAGGGGUGGCUAUGCAUAUUGACUUUGAACAGUGGCGUGUGUCGCGCCAUUCCCCUUUCACGGAAGGAAGGCAGGUGAAACUGCUGGUUGAAACAGCCCCCCCCUCAAGGGAGCGAUGGUGUGAGCGAAGUGUGCGAAGACGCAUCUUUGUUUCGGCUCCUUCGUCUUUCUCAUCUUGUCCCUUCGACGGCUGUAGGGACUAUAUAACAAAAAAACACAAGCGCUUGCUCAGCGUCGCGCGGACAAAUGCUCACGAGUGGUGCCAGACAGGAAACAGUACAGAUUGUUGUUGUUGCUCUCUAUUUCCUCCUUCGAAUGACGUCCCAUCUCCCCCUCCCUUCCUGACCUCCCCCCUCAACCCUCUCCUAGAUUGAAAGUGACUGUUUUCCUCCCUUUCAAAAGGUGUGGAGCAUGUUUGCACAUUUCUGGAACUGCAGCAUCACACGGGUAGGCUCUCCCAAGGAGUGCAACUAACACAGUCCGGGGCAGAGUGUGUGUGUGUGUGUGUGUGAGAACUUCUUGGCCCUGUGUACUGUGGUGGCAGACUGCUUAUUGAAAGCCGAGCUGAGCACGGACAGCUGUGACUGAACGCAUAGUCGUGUCUUGCAAGAAAUCUUAAGUUGGUGGGGCAUGAAGACUGGGGCAUUUGUUGGAUCAUAUGGGUGUUGCAGAGAAGUUCCUCUUUGAUUGUUAUGUAGGGAACUGAGGCGCUGGACAAUUUUUUUUUAUUGGCGUUCUGGAAAGAAAAGGCUCGGAAACUGGCUGCAUGAUGUGUGCUAAAAGUGUGAGCCUCUGUGUGUGCGUGCAUUGUUGUGUGUGUGCAUGUUACCUUAUACUCAUGCGGCACUUUGGUAGUGUUGUGAUGUUUACUUUUUUUUAUCGAGAUUGACUUUUCAAAUUGGACUGCUACUGCCACAAGUGUCCGUGGGAUUAAGGGUCAGGGGAUAAAAUGUCUUAAUGAGGCACGAAAAAGAUAAGUGGAAGUGUCUGUUAUUGCGCAUUAAGAUUGGCCGUUAGAGUGUGUGUCUGUGAGCGUACUUUUUUUUUUGAAGACCUUGAAGUAUUCUACAGUCAAAAUGCACUACCAGAAGAGCCGCUCUGUUGUUACACAGGAGUUCAGUACAGUUUGUCCACGCCUUCUUGAAUGCCGGACUUGAGUUUUAUGCACAGGUCAAGCCUGAUCCCUUUUUUUUCUUUUUCCACGUGCUUGACAACAUUGUGAUGACUUUGCCACAUUUUAAUUUUUUUUUGUUUGUUUGCUCUUCUAGAGUCUGCCAACACCAUUUUUGUUGCCGAAAUGGUGUUGCACAUUAUUUAUUAUAUAAUUAUUGUUACCAGAGCUGAAAGACGGCGGGGGCACUGGUGAGGUGCGCAGUGUUUCUUGCUGCAGUGACUUGCAGGUUUUCAAGGUGUUGACCUGUGAUGGAACAAAAGAAAGUAUAUAUUAUAGGUCAGGGUAACGAAUCCUUCCAUUCAUCCCCACCCCCUUAUCACCCUCCAACUUUGCCAAAUUGAUCGGCCUGAUCAGCCCCUGUUUUAAGCGUGAUGAAAGGGGGGAGGGUCCGAUGGAACUCUUCCUCCGUAGGCAACAUAUCGGUGUAGAUGUGGAAGGCUCAUGUGGUAGCUGACGACAAGUGUUGUCGUUGCCUCGCAGGGAUGGCUCUGCGCGCUCUCGGGAAGAACGUGCAGAAAGCGAUUGUUGAGGAAAUGAAAAACAAAUUUCUGUGUUCCUUAGUUUAUUCGUAGUUUAUAAAAAUGCAACAAGUUUUGGCACAACCCCCCACCCCACCAAGCCCUCCUUUAUUGCCAGGUUCAGAAGUUUCUCCCAGCACUUGUUUGUCAUGCAAGGCAUUCUUGGGGCGUGGAAGAUGCUCUUGGCUGUGCCGUGCCUGAUGCAUGAUAUAGGAGAGGAGCAUAAUAGGUGUUUUUGUUUGUUUUCUGUGUUUGAGAGAGCGUUAAAUGAAUGUCUAAAAGUAUUCACUAGUCGACGAUGAAGAGGCGAUUUAAAUAACGAGGAGCAUCAGUCGAGACCCAAGAGAUGAAAAGCGUUCGUAAAGAGGACUAUUGUAAUGUCCGCGAAUGUGCACGUGCGCGGGUGUCUUUCUCGACUGGGCCCGAACUUCGUCCCUGCUUUUCGAGUGUCUGUGAAUGCGAAGAAGAAAAAUAUAUAUAUAUAUAUAUAAUGUGCGAAAAAUCUUAAUGGCUACCGCGUGAAGAACACUCAAAGUUCUGGCGUUCCUUUCAUCCCAUUCAUUAGAGGUGGUGUAAAAGAAAACGACAUCGAGGCAAGUUUUUUUUUUUACAUUUUGCCUGCAGCUUUUCCUAGCCAAAAGAGCCUGUUCGCUGAACAUUCCACAUUGGAUUGGGCACUACUACAAUGCGCAGUCUUGCGCGCUCACUGGAGUGUUCGCGUGUAUUACCCCAUAGCGAACGAAAAACAGUGUUCAUGACGGCGCUGUGUACUUCGCCUCGCCGCCAGAGACAAUUUUAUCGCGACACGGUUUGUCUCCAUUGGUUCGUGGUGGCCAGUGGCCUGGCAUACGUUAAAGACUUCGUGCUUUUUUUUCUUUUUUUUUUCGCGCAGCAACGACAGUCCCCUUACCCUUGGCCUCCCCAUUGCAUUUGUGGAGGGGAUGAACGGGCCCAAAAGAAAGUGCAAUGAAAUAAAAACAGUUGCUUGAAGAGUUUA
rnacentral:lncRNA from 1 species